rnacentral:rRNA from 1 species
GACGAACGCUGGCGGCGUGCUUAACACAUGCAAGUCGAACGGAAAGGCCCUGCUUUUGUGGGGUGCUCGAGUGGCGAACGGGUGAGUAACACGUGAGUAACCUGCCCUUGACUUUGGGAUAACUUCAGGAAACUGGGGCUAAUACCGGAUAGGAGCUCCUGCUGCAUGGUGGGGGUUGGAAAGUUUCGGCGGUUGGGGAUGGACUCGCGGCUUAUCAGCUUGUUGGUGGGGUAGUGGCUUACCAAGGCUUUGACGGGUAGCCGGCCUGAGAGGGUGACCGGCCAAAUUGGGACUGAGAUACGGCCCAGACUCCUACGGGAGGCAGCAGUGGGGAAUAUUGCACAAUGGGCGGAAGCCUGAUGCAGCAACGCCGCGUGCGGGAUGACGGCCUUCGGGUUGUAAACCGCUUUCGCCUGUGACGAAGCGUGAGUGACGGUAAUGGGUAAAGAAGCACCGGCUAACUAUGUG